UUUAGGCAUGAUUUUAGGCCAUACCAAUGUGUAUACCAUAUGCCUACCACAUAAACGUUGAGGCUGCAGAUUUCGGCAUAGUUGCUGCGUAAAAGUGUCAGCCUUUGAAUUGUUUAACUGUCACUCAAUACCUCAAAUUCCAACAACGUAUUCUGUCUCUUCUUAUUAAAAAACGGAAUCCAAGAGUGUAUCAACGAAAAAACAACAUUUGCGAAAGUCAACUCAAAAUGACAGCUACAUCUACCUAAGUGGACGCAAUGUUUUGCCUGAAAUACUAAGAAUCCAGUCUACAUACGACACGAAUCAACGUGAUAUGAGAGGAUUUUUAUUGAAUUACAGCUGAUAUGGGCGCAAAUACUGGUUCAAUGCACUCAUUUUUGUCGAAAAGCAUUUCAACCACGAAGAAUUUGAUGACGCUAAAGAGGCUAUUGUAAGGGAAGUCUACAACACAUGGUACUUGAGCAGCGAACACUCCCAUAAAUUCAGACAAUUGCUUGUGAUUUUGUCCAAUUUAGGGAAUUGAAAAAGCUAUCUUAGAGCAAUAUGGAAUCUGUGGCAAGAAAUAUUGAGGCAAACUGGUUUCCACGAUGCAGUUAACAAACAAUCAUAAAGGUGCACCUUGUUUAAUUUUUUUUUUAUCAUGAAAGGCAAUUUGUUACAUUUCAGGCAAAAACUAAUUAUCGUCGAUGCAAUCAAAAACAAAGAAAACAAAAGUGGAAACUUUGGAACCAUCUACUCUGCAGACGGGUUGGCCAGUUUGCAUGUCCUUAACGCUUGAAGGUCGCGGGGAAAAAACUGUCAAUGUGGUAUUGUAGAUGGUUGAAAUGACACGUGUUUCAUCAUUAUCAAGCAGACCCAUUCCCGGCAACGUCACCUGUAGAAGGAAUAAAGGCCAGUUUGUAUUUCAAAUUUCAAUCGAAGGUCAUGGAGAUCAUUACGUAAAACGUGUCAUGCAGUGGUGUAGAGGUUAGGUGAGAACGGGACGUUUUGCAUCAUUAUCGAGAAGGUAAAAUAACCGCAAGGCUUAAGAGGAGGGGUGAGAAAAAUUCGUAUAAACGGCGAGAGAAAAGUUGACAGGGAUCAGUCGAGUGAGUAUCUUAGACACGGUAACAGCUGCACUCCUGCAGUGUACUACCAUUUGCCAUCAGCUGCAUUCUUCAUCGUAUUAUCAUUUAACAAGUGAUAAAUUAUCAGUUCUCAAU